rnacentral:rRNA from 1 species
AACGAACGCUGGCGGCAUGCCUAACACAUGCAAGUCGAACGAGACCUUCGGGUCUAGUGGCGCACGGGUGCGUACCGCGUGGGAACUUGCCCUUAGGUUCGGAAUAACUCCCCGAAAGGGGUGCUAAUACCGGAUAAUGUCUUCGGACCAAAGAUUUAUCGCCUUUGGAUGGGCCCGCGUUGGUUUAGCCAGUUGGUAGGGUAAAAGCCUACCAAGGCGACGAUCCAUAGCUGGUCUGAGAGGAUGAUCAGCCACACUGGGACUGAGACACGGCCCAGACUCCUACGGGAGGCAGCAGUGGGGAAUAUUGGACGAUGGGCGAAAGCCUGAUCCAGCAAUGCCGCGUGAGUGAUGAAGGCCUUAGGGUUGUAAAGCUCUUUUACCCGGGAUGAUAAUGACAGUACCGGGAGAAUAAGCUCCGGCUAACUCCGUG